AGCCCCAGGCAUGCGCAGAAGGCGCCUCAGCCUCCAGACUACCAUUCCCAGAAGGCCGUGCUCGCCUCAGAGGCAUUUUCCAAGCCUAAGGGCGGGAGGACUGGACUUCCAUCUUACUGCGACACUUCCGCUUCCUUUUUUCUCCGCCUCUUCCCUGCUUGCUAAUUCCCGCUUCUCCUUCUCUGGGCUGAGCUGACGUGUGACGGCGUGAGCGGGGGCCGAAAGCGGGGCCGGGCCCAGGCGGAGCCGAUGCGGGCUCUACCUUCGGUGGCCUCUGCUGUGCCCCAGGAGGACAGCCUGGAGGAAGAGGGAAUGGCUCCUGCCCUGACAGCCAGGCCCAGGAAGGCACAUGGUAACCUGUACAGGGUUGAGGGAUGGAAGACAGUCAUGAGUUAUGGGGGCAUGACCCUUGCUGAGAGCCUGUUGUGUGUAGCUGUGGACCCAGCCUUGCUCCCCAGAGAGGGCAUGAAGGCAGCCCUGGUGAAUCCCAGGAACAUCGCCAGGAUCCAAGAAUAUCCUGAGGACAGAGAAAUAUGGAAUAAGGGGAGGACACCUAAGGGUCGUGAUCUGGGGAACUGGGCUGGGUGAGGAAGAAGAGGAUGAGAGGACAAGAGAUGGAGAGGCCAUAGGGGACAAAGAGACUCCAGGGGUCACGAAGGGAGGAAAGGAUAUGGGGAUCAUAGACACAGAUGACUGUAGGGUACAGGGAUGGCGAUGGGGGACACAGUCAGAGGGAGGAGGGAGUACAGGCAUCAGGGGAUGUUGAGGGAGGGUCUUUUGGGCUUGAGAUGUCAGGAGUCUAGCAUCCCGGGAAUUCCUCAUCCCACCCCACAGCCCGUCAGUGUUCAGACAGACAGUCUAGGUUGGAGGGCCCCUGACCAUCCACCAGGAGACUGUUUGGAUCCAGGGUAAAGUUCUAUAGCUGGGUGCCAUCAUGGGUCAGUCUGAGGACCUCUUGGUACGUAGAGGCCCUGUCAAAGUUCCGGGCCUGAGCGGCUGAUGUGAAGUCACACGAGCAGUCCACUUCUGUGAGGUGUCUGGGAGAGAGGAGCCUAAAGAAGAAGAGGGCAGGGUGUGGGUGAAUGAGAGAGGAAGAAGGCAGGUAGGGAGGAGAAGACAGGAGCAGUGAUGGCCUCAGGGGAGCUGGGCCAUGCUGAGCAGGCUUCUGGCCCUGCUUUCCUACACCUCCCCACCAAAACUAGGCUUAGUUCUUACGUGUUUUGUGAAUACAUGCAUCUAGAUGGUAAGCUCCUUGAGGACACGGAUGGCUUUAUUUUUGUAUCUUUUGCCCUGUGCCUGAUACUUCGAGUAUGCUGCUUAAAACCUUAUUGAAAGGCGAAUUGCUUCUAUAUGUGUAUAGAUAUACAUGUUAUCUCUCUAUAUUCCCCAGCACGUGUCCCACUGCUUGGCACAUCGUGGCAGAUUUAUAAAUGCUUGUUGAUUGGUGGAUUAACGGAUGAAUUGUUCACCCAGGCAGUUUGGCAACAUACUGCUUUCUGUAUCUUCUGGGCCUUUCUCUGGCUGCUGGUUUGAGGCAGCUUUUCGAAGGGAAGAAGGGAGUUGGGAAGGAAGGAAAGAGAAGAGGGAA
rnacentral:lncRNA from 1 species